GGGCCUAUAGCUUAGUGGUAGAGCACCCGCCUUGCACGCGGGAAACCGGGGUUCGACUCCCCGUAGGUCCACCA
rnacentral:tRNA from 1 species